rnacentral:rRNA from 1 species
GACGAACGCUGGCGGCGUGCUUAACACAUGCAAGUCGAGCGGUAAAGCCCUUUCGGGGGUACACGAGCGGCGAACGGGUGAGUAACACGUGGGUGACCUGCCCUCAGCUCUGGGGUAAGCCCGGGAAACUGGGUCUAAUACCGGAUAUGACUCCAUGACGCAUGUUGUGGGGUGGAAAGCCUUGUGCGGCUGAGGAUGGGCCCGCGGCCUAUCAGCUUGUUGGUGGGGUGAUGGCCUACCAAGGCGACGACGGGUAGCCGGCCUGAGAGGGCGACCGGCCACACUGGGACUGAGAUACGGCCCAGACUCCUACGGGAGGCAGCAGUGGGGAAUCUUGCGCAAUGGGCGAAAGCCUGGCGCAGCGACGCCGCGUGAGGGAUGACGGCCUGGUGUAA